rnacentral:rRNA from 1 species
UACGGGGGGGGCAAGCGUUGUUCGGAAUUACUGGGCGUAAAGGGCUCGUAGGCGGCCAAUUAAGUCAGACGUGAAAUCCCUCGGCUUAACCGGGGAACUGCGUCUGAUACUGGAUGGCUUGAGAUUGGGAGAGGGAUGCGGAAUUCCAGGUGUAGCGGUGAAAUGCGUAGAUAUCUGGAGGAACACCGGUGGCGAAGGCGGCAUCCUGGACCAGCACUGACGCUGAGGAGCGAAAGCCAGGGGAGCAAACGGG